rnacentral:lncRNA from 1 species
UCGGGCUGCACAUUCGAAAUUGCAAGACUUCAACUCUGCUAGUGAAGCCAUAGGUAAUGAAACAGGGGAGGUUGGGGGUGUUGCUGGUGGUUGAGGCGGCAUCGGUGGUUUAGGUGGCAUUGGAGGCAUCGGAGAGGGUGAGGGUGAGGGCGACGGAGAGGGUGCUAUGCAAGAAGUUAGACACUUGGUGAAACACUGUAAGGUUGGAUUUUGCAGACAACCAGAAGCACAUU